rnacentral:rRNA from 1 species
GACGAACGCUGGCGGCGUGCCUAAUACAUGCAAGUCGAACGCAGUGGGGACGGGUGAGUAACACGUGGGUAACCUCCCAUCAGAGGGGAUAACACUUGGAAACAGGUGCUAAACCGAUACUGGAGGAUGGACCCGCGGUGCAUUAGCUAGUUGGUGAGGUAAAGGCUCACCAAGGCCACGAGGCAUAGCCGACGUGGGAGGUUCAUCGGCCCCACUGCGACUGCAACACGGCCCAGACUCCUACGGUAGGCGGCAGUAGGGAAUCUUCGGCAAUGGACUAAAGUCUGACCGAGCAACGCCGCGUGAGUUAAGAAGGUUUUCGGAUCGUAAAACUCUGUUGUUAGAGAAGCGGUAUCUAACCAGAAAGCCACGGCUAACUACGUGCCAGCCGCCGCGGUAAUAC